AGGGGUCCGUCGCUCUUGAAGCCGCCGGCGGCGGGCGCGUGCGCGGCCCGAUGAAGAAGGAGGUUUCCAAGCCGUCUCCGCCCAAGUUGAUCGGUGGAUGCGCGCCCCCGCGCGGGGCACCGGUUGCUGUGGACGCAGUGGCGGCCGUUGGCUGGCGGGUGCGGCGCAGCCUCGGUGUCUCUGGGCCGGCGGUGCAGGGCAACGUUUCAUGGUGCCGGGCGGCACCAUGAAGUCUCUAAAGAAGGAUUCCCGCCUCAGAAUAACUCCGACCAGAUUAUUAGAGGCCUCAGAGAAUGUCAAAGAUGGAGUCUCAACUAUGUUGCCCAGGCUAGUCUUGAACUCCUGGGCCCAAGCAAUCCUCCUGCCUUGGCUUCUCAAAGUGUUGGGAUUACAAGCUUGCACCACGGCACCCGGAAUGAAACAUCUUUUUGUUUUGUUUUGUUUUGUUUUUGAGACAGAGUCUCACUCUGUUGCCCAGGUUAGAGUGCAGUCACACGAUCUCAGCUCACUGCAACCUCUACCUCCCGGGCUCAAGUG
rnacentral:lncRNA from 10 species